GAGGAGGCUGCGGUGCGUGCGCGGCGGCGGCGGAGACCCGGGGCCGCGGCGGAUCGCGGGAAUUUGGCGCCUACGUUCGGAGUCUGGCUGUUCUCGCCUGUGAUUGGGCCCCGUCUGCGGCUGCUCCGUCGACCUCGGCAGAAAGCGUUCGGCUCGGUGCUCGGCUGGCCUCCGGGGCAUGGGCCACCAGGAGCCCCCGCUGGCCCGAGCGCCCGCCGAAGGCGCGCCUUAUGUAAAGCGGUUAUGUAAAGGGCUCAGCUGGCGCGAGCGCGUGCAGAGCCGCGGGAGCCCGGACGCCAGGUUCUCCCCCGCGCGCGCCGCGGCAAUCUCCAGGGCCGCACCAGGUUCCGGCGCACGCCCGGCGCGGGCCAUCGGCUCCCGCGCGGCUCGGUACCUAAGGCAGCCCCGGCCGGGAGCGCACCAUCCCCAGCCCGAGACUCCUGGGGGGAAACCCGCCGUCCGGAAGUGGAGGGGCUCCGGCCAGGUCACAACCCAAGCACCCGCUCCUCUGCGUCCCGGGGCCGGACGGAGGGAUGAGGCAGGGGGGGACCGGGCAGCGCCGUUGCUGCUCCCCCCGCCGCCCGCAGCCAUGGAAACGGGGGAGGCGGACGGCGCCCGCCGAGGUACACAAAGCCCCGAGAGGAAAAGGCGAAGCCCAGUGCCGCGGGCGCCCAGCGCGAAGCUGAGGCCAGUGGCUGCGGCCCAGGCCAUGGAUCCGGUGGCGGCCGAAGCCCCCGGCGAGGCCUACCUGGCUCGGCGGCGGCCCGAGGGUGGCGGCGGGUCCGCGCAGCCGCGCUACAGCCUGGUGGCCGAGAUCGGGCGCGGCAGCUACGGCGUGGUUUACGAGGCCGUGGCCGGGCGCAGCGGGGCCCGGGUGGCGGUCAAGAAGAUCCGCUGCGACGCCCCGGAAAACGUGGAGCUGGCGCUGGCGGAGUUCUGGGCCCUGACCAGCCUCAAGCGGCGCCACCAGAACGUGGUGCAGUUUGAGGAGUGUGUCCUGCAGCGCAACGGCCUAGCCCAGCGCAUGAGCCAUGGCAACAAGAACUCGCAGCUUUACCUGCGCCUGGUGGAGACCUCGCUCAAAGGAGAAAGGAUCCUGGGUUAUGCUGAGGAGCCCUGUUAUCUCUGGUUUGUCAUGGAGUUCUGUGAAGGUGGAGACCUGAAUCAGUACGUCCUGUCCCGGAGGCCGGACCCAGCCACCAACAAAAGCUUCAUGCUACAGCUCACAAGCGCCAUUGCCUUCCUGCACAAAAACCACAUCGUGCACAGGGACCUAAAGCCAGACAACAUCCUUAUCACGGAGAGGUCUGGCACCCCCAUCCUCAAGGUGGCAGACUUUGGACUAAGCAAGGUCUGUGCUGGGCUAGCCCCCCGAGGCAAAGAGGGUAAUCAGAACAACAAAAAUGUGAAUGUGAAUAAGUACUGGCUGUCCUCAGCCUGCGGCUCAGACUUCUACAUGGCCCCUGAAGUCUGGGAGGGACACUACACAGCCAAGGCUGACAUCUUUGCCCUGGGCAUUAUCAUCUGGGCAAUGAUAGAAAGAAUCACUUUCAUUGACUCUGAGACCAAGAAGGAGCUCCUGGGGACCUAUAUCAAACAGGGGACCGAGAUCGUCCCUGUUGGUGAGGCGCUGCUAGAAAAUCCAAAGAUGGAGUUGCACAUCCCCCAGAAACGCAGGACUUCCAUGUCUGAGGGGAUCAAGCAGCUCUUGAAAGAUAUGUUAGCUGCUAACCCACAGGACCGGCCUGAUGCCUUUGAACUUGAAACCAGAAUGGACCAGGUCACAUGUGCUGCUUAAAAUUCAGGGCAAAGCAUCUUGGUUGUUUUUAAACUAGGCUUACUGUAGAAAAUGUACAAAAGGGUACGGGCAGUUUUUUUCAGAGGAUAAAUGCCAUCCCUAAUUGUAUCCCUUCUACUUGCACAUCCAGUUCUACACAGUUCAGAUCAUGCUGUGGUUGAUCCCCGGGACCCACAGUCUCGUCAAGUCUCACAGAGGACGGCAGAGGGUACAGGUGCCCGGCCAGCGGCCAUCUCCCGACAGCUGGAGCUCCAGCAAUGUGAAGCUUUGUUUGCAUUUUCUCCCUUCAGUUUGUUUAAAAUUUUUUGUCUUUUUUUUUUUUUUUUUAAUUUAAACGAUUUAAGACUUCAAAAGAGCAGAAGCUCUGCUGUGGACAGGCACCAGUUUCUUUAAAGAAAUUUAAUAUGGACAAAGCAUUUGUGUAAAUUUCAUCUUUAAUUUUUAUAAGGGGUUAGGGCACUAUUUCAUUUUUGUUCUUGCUUUUCCCUGUCUUUCUUUUACCCAUUUCUCAGUUUUGCUUAUAACACCUCACUUCCCCCAGAGGAGGCCCCUCUCCGUGGCAAUGGGGGCAUUUCUCCUGGAACGGAAUGGAGACAGGAGGAGGCCCCCGGGCCACCUUCCCACCAGGCGCAGGAACUGCCGACCCCGAGCUGCUCCCGGCCAGCUCUUGGCCUUGGGUAAAGAUCCGCCUGGAGGAGGAAGACCAGCGUUUGCUCGGGAGAACUCACGAAAGCAGCUCCCACCCGGGGGUGUGUGCUCUUUAAGCUGUGGAAGCCCCCGCCACACCAGGACUGACGGUGGUGGGACUCCAUUCCCCCCACUGCCCUCGGUGACCGAGAUCUCUGAAGGGGCGGGGGACGGGACAGAAGUGAUCAUCUCCCACUUCCUGGCAGUUGAGCGGUCAGCCCACCCCAACUCUACACGCCUACGUUUCUGUUAGUGUUCUUCCUCCCAGCAGAAGAUCCCCAGGAAGAAACGGUCAUGCCAAACCUCUGCCCAGGUUGUCACGGAGACCGCCUGAGUCCCUGCGAUCCUGCCGGGAGCGUUGCCAUAGAACAGGGUGCGCUGGACUGGCUGUCGCUGCACUGAAGGGUGUGCCCUGUGUGCCGGGACCCCUGGUAUCACUUAUGGUAACAGUGUCGUGCCAUCUCCCUCACCCCAGGGGCACACUGCUAGGUGUAAAUGUGUCUGACUGGAAAAGGAUGGAGCAGGCGAGAGGAGGCAGGUGACUGGGCAGACCCCUGCAGCCUUUAGGUGCCUGAUUGUGGGUUUGCCACCUAGAGAUUCCCCGACUGUGGAGCCCACCCACAGGGUCAGUGUAGCUGUUCUUCUGCUCUCCACAGCACUCACAGCCCUUCUCCACAGGCUUCUGAACCUGGCAUUGUCCCCCGCAUCCCCCUUUCCCUCCCCAGCUCCCGGCAGGACAGAGGAACCCUCCUGUGCUGGCCCCCUGUGUCACCUGGGCACUGCUUUAGCUACUCCAGAGGCUCUUCACCCUGUGACAGCCAAGCAGGAAAGGGCCUUUGGGGAGGGGGAAGAAAUUCCUCUUUUGUGUUUAUUUUUGGUUUUUGUCUUCUCUCAGCCAGCAUAGGAUCAGUAGGGGAGAUCACUGGAGGGCCUUUCAGUUCUGUGUGACCAAGGGGGCCUUCCCCACAGCAGCCCUGGUCCUGCAGCUCUGGGCGUUUGGGAGAGGCUAGCGCGGUGUCAGCCCAAGCUUGACAAUAUGUUUGCUCACAUUCUUUCUGCCUUUUCUCAAGCUCCUCGGAUACCAAGGCUCCUUCCUCCUGGGCAGACAGCUGGCUGUGGUUAGCAGGACCAGCAGGGCUGCAGGUGGUAACCAGGCCCUUCCAUUCCUUGGCUGAAAUCCUUUGUGAUCGCCUGUCUCAUCGCUUCUUCUCUGGUGCCCUGUGUGUGCUCUAGGCUGCACCUGGAAGGUUGGGAGCCCAGCAUUCCCUAUUGCAGUGCACACUCCUGCCCCACCCCCUGCCUUCCCUGCAGCCAGCUGUCUCUGCACAUGAGCGAAUGAGAAAAACAGUCCCCAAACUCAGCAGCCCCCUCUCCCUGCUGCAGCUCGGGUUCUGAAGUCCCCAGUGAGGGCUCAAGCCUAACAAGUUAUUUGCCUUUUGCUUGUCUUUUUCUUCUGCCCUCCCCAGCCUCUUAGCUCUGAGUAGGUCUUGGAGCUGCAAUGCACCCCCCUUUGUUAUUUUUCCUGGCGCCAGGGUAUCCCCUAUAGACAACGGGAUGUCCAUAACUUUAGGGUAAGGUGGGCAGCCUGGGUAGCCAGCUUCCAUGUACCCUUACCUUGUAGGGCUCCCAGCCCUCCUGGCUUGGUGGUGGGACCUCCUUCCCUAGCUCUUGAGGGCCAGCUCAUUAGCCCAAGUGCCUGUCUCCCCUCUCUCCUUCCCCUGCUCUCUCCACUUUGUCCACCUGAAGUUGGGCGUUGACCCUAAGUCAGUCCAGUCUGUGGACUAGCCUGGGGUGAGGUGGGUGGCCCCUGUCCUCCUCCUCAGCCACUUGCCACCUGUUCCCACCGUGGUCGGCUUCCUCGCCUCUUCCUGCCUUUUCACCCUCUCCACCCGUCUCAGGCCUGGCAGCAGCUCUGUGGUGCGUCACCUCAGUGCCACCAAGUUUAAGUUUGUCCAAGUUCCAGAAGUUUCCAAACCUUAAAAUAGCAGUCCGUUACUCGCUUCUCCAGUCUGAAAGGAGAGCCUGUUGGAGGAAGGGUCUGGGCCUGGUGCCCCCUAAAUGAGAGGAGUCAGCAGACAGAUCAUGCGUAGUGCCUUAUUCCAUUGUCUUCCCUGGCCAGACCCGCUCCCCUGGCGUCUGUCUUCUUCCUCCUCGUUUGUGUCCAUCUGUCUCUUACACUCCCCCCCCCCCCCCCCCCCCCCGUUCACCCACAGCCGCAUGGGCUUCCCCUCUGCCCUCUUCUCCCCUCCUUCCCCCAUCCCUUCCUGGGCGCUGCAGCCAGGUACACACCUCCCGCCCACACCAGGGCGAUCUCUAGCAGCUUUAGCUGAGGAUGGAAAAUGCUUUAGGCAGGUGCGCUCUGCCUCUUACUACCCAGCAGUGCCUGCCUCUUACCUCUAGCCAGGAGGAUGCCACGAUUGUUCAUACAAGACCGGCUCCAUCUGACCCCCUCUGGGCCCUGGGGACUAAGCCGCAGGCCUCGGCCUCAUCUCCGGAGGCACUGGGAGGACGGGACCCCUCCUCCGGCCCGGAUGUGGCUGCCCCUCAUGGCUGCCUCUCUGAGGGCGUGUGUAUGUUUACUUGAGAAAUACCCUGUUUACAGCCAGAGGAGAACGGUGCCCAACACUAGGUGGAGAGGGACUCGGGACAGCCUGGCCUCUAUGGCACGCGGGCGGUGGCCCCAGCGUGAACGAAGGCAGAGGUGCCAGGGGCUGGGGCGCUCCCUGCACUCCCUCUACUGCCCGACCCUGCGGUGCUACAGCCACUGGCCACCUUCCUCAGCCUCCUGGCCCCAGACCUUCCCCACCUGCAUUCCUUCCUCCAAGGUCCUCAGCACCCUAACAUAUCAGUUGCCUCCUAGAGAACCAGUGUGUGGAGCAAUAAGAUUUUUUUGUUUUUUGCUUGAGUCUUUUUAUAAGAAAAGGAAAAGAGUUGGCAUUGUGGGACUCUCCUCUUUAUGCUGUCGACUGUUUGCCUUCUUGGAAGACGGAUGGACAUCUGGGUUCUGACUUUGGGGUAUCUUAGAAGCUUGGAAAAGCAAGUCAGGCUUUUGCCCCCAAGAAGGGGAUCCUGGCUGCCCUCACCAUGCUCCAUGCCACCUGGGCUUCCAGCCCCUCCCUCCCAGUGCGCCUCCCACCCUUGAUCCUGCUGGUGCCCCCACGUCUGGGGCACUGGUGGCCCCAGAUGGGCAGCUGCUGAGUCUCCUAGGAGGGCAGUAGCCAAACUUGAACUAUUCAGUUCUGGCCGCCGGGCUUGGGGCUGAGGCCCAGAGACACUGCCUCGGCCGUCGUCCCACACCGGACUGAGCCACAGCCUUCGGGAUAACGCAGACCCAUCUCUGAUCUGUCCACCUGAGCAUGGAGAGGUGCUGCGGGAGGGGGAGCAGGAGGUGUGGUGUGAGGGUGGACUGUCACUGGCUGCCCGGAGCGCCCCUAGAAUUGCAGGGGUCACCGGAGGGAGGCCACAGGAGGAAGGGAGUUUAUUUAGGGACAUUUUAAAGACCGCGUUCAUGCCCCAGGGCCUCUCCAUCAGAGCAGGGGAGUAUGUUGUGAUGAUUUAACAGUUGUGUGGGGCCAUUUCAGUGAGGGAAGAUUUAACCCAGGCUCAAAGUUUGUUUCAAAUACUAGUUAAUAAGCCUAUUUUCCUUAUUUUCUUUUUUUGCACAGAAGCUGGUAAUCUAGGACCUACGUGUGAACAACUUUAUAUGAGUAUUUUUUGUACUUGGUUUACUUGGGUUGGUAUGAUACAUGAUAUUUAAGUUCCUUGAACACUGUGGAGCCCCAAUGUGUAUGAAUGACUGAGGCUUUGUAAAUUAAGGGACGUUUGUGUGAAUAAAGUUAUUUGAUGGGGUCAAAGAAGCCAUAUGUGA